rnacentral:rRNA from 1 species
GACGAACGCUGGCGGCGUGCUUAACACAUGCAAGUCGAGCGGUAAGGCCCUUUCGGGGGUACGACGAGCGGCGAACGGGUAGAGUAACACGUGGGUGACCUGCCCUCAGCUCUGGGAGUAAGCCCGGGAAACCGUGGGUCGUAAUACCGGAUAUGACUUCAUGACGCAUGUUGUGGAGUGGAAAGCCUUGUGCGGCUGAGGAUGGGCCCGCGGCCUAUCAGCUUGUUGGUGGGGUGAGGCCUACCAAGGCGACGACGGGUAGCCGGCCUGAGAGGGCGACCGGCCACACUGGGA